UUUUUGCAAUCGUAGAAGUGUUUGUUCUUUUUCUGGUUCCGCGUUGGACUUGCAAGUUAAUUUCGAAGAAUUCCCCUGAAUUUCUUCAUAACAAAAACUGCGAGAGUUGUUGUGAAAAAAAAAAACUUGGGUUAUCUGAAAUCGGAAGCAGCCGCAGACAGCUAUUCGUCGGUCGAUUCAGCGGAAAACAAACAUUCUUUGUUACCAGUUGCCGUUGAGUUUUUGGGAUGCUCCGGAACUUUCCAGUGUUGCUGCACCAAGAGGUACAAGUCGGUUCCGAAAAUCUAAGAGGAAAAAACCAGCACUAAAAUAAAUGAAGAACCGAAAGCGUGCUGUGCAACUAUUAGAGGACAGGCAGCAGCGCUUCGUCCGUAAUUGUGGCAGCAGUGGCCAACAGCUCUUUUGCCAGCAGCUCUUUUACCGUUUCCAACAGUGCAGAUA